GGUCAGGUGGCUGAUUUAGGCGGUAGGCUGUAAACUUAUUAAUGGGAGGGCUAACUCCCCCUGGUCG
rnacentral:tRNA from 1 species